AACGUAGGAGACAAACGUUAUCCGGAGUUACUGGGCGUAAAGGGCGUGUAGGUGGUUUCGUAAGUCUGGCGUGAAAUUUCCCGGCUUAACCGGGAGUGGUCGUCGGAUACUGCGGGACUAGAGGACGGUAGAGGCGUGUGGAAUUCCGGGUGUAGUGGUGAAAUGCGUAGAGAUCCGGAGGAACACCAGUGGCGAAGGCGACACGCUGGGCCGUACCUGACACUGAUGCG
rnacentral:rRNA from 1 species